AAAAUAUUAAACUAAAAUCUACCAACAUCAAAGAUAUGGAAUUAGAAGAUGAAGAAAUACAUGAAACUCAUGUUUAAAAAAUUCAAGGAGUGUCUAAGGCACAUAAUUGUUUUUCAAGUUUCCAAGAGCAAAAAUAAGAAAGAUACUCUUUCACUCCCACAUCUCACAAAUGUAGAAAGGAAUGACACAUAAGAAUAAAUGACCCUCAAAGUCUUAAUAGAUCCAAGAAAUUGCAAAA
rnacentral:lncRNA from 1 species